CUGUUAUGCUGCACACAAGUGGAACAAGCUACCAACUGAACUGAAAUCAGCCUCAAAUGUGAACAUUUUUAAAUCCAGGUUAAAAACCUUCCUCUUUUCGUGUGUUUAUGAGUAAACUCUUUUCAAUCUUGUCUUUUU